AGAACGAACGCUGGCGGCGUGGAUAAGACAUGCAAGUCGAACGCGACUUAUUGAGUUAGCAAUAACUUGGUAAGUUGAGUGGCGAAAGGGUGCGUAACACGUGGGAAUUUACCGAGAAGUGGGGAAUAGCUCGACGAAAGUCGAAUUAAUACCGCAUGUGAUCGAAAGAUCAAAGCCGGGGACCGCAAGGCCUGGCGCUUUUUGAGAAGCCCGCGGCCCAUCAGCUAGUUGGCGGGGUAAAAGCCCACCAAGGCUAUGACGGGUAGCUGGUCUGAGAGGACGACCAGCCACACUGGAACUGAGACACGGUCCAGACACCUACGGGUGGCAGCAGUCGAGAAUUUUUCACAAUGGACGAAA
rnacentral:rRNA from 1 species